UUUUAAUGUUUUUAUUAACUAGACUGUAAGAUCAAUUAUGUUUAAAAUACACUAUGGUGAAGGGUAUAUAAGAUUCGGCACGGCCGAAUAUAGCACUCUUACUUGUUAUAGUUAUUAUUUUCUUGCGUGUAAAAAAUCGCGAAAACCACUACCUGUUAUUGGAAAUUUUACAAAUUGUUUGUUAUGUUGUUAUCCUUUUUUAUUUUCUUAAUAAUUGACAAAAUUAGGUAAAAAUCAAUUUCAAUCUAUGGACCUCUUUGUUCAAAGGAAAAUAAUCCUUAAUAAUUAUGUACAUUCAUUGUCAUUCAUAUUCAGUAUACAAUUGAUUAGCCAACAAAAUGCAUCCAUUUACCCGCUUCAUUCAAUCGCUUAUAUACGAAAAUAAAUUAGCAACAUUGUUAAACUAUCCACGCAAUAUUAAAAAUAAUAAAAUAACACAAUGCCAAAAGUUUUAAAAACUAAAGAAAGUAAACGUUUGUUGCAAAAGCAAACAAACUAGUGAAGAAGGAAAACGCAACAUCAUCUAUUUAUAUGGGAAAACAACUAAUAGUGAACAAGAAUUGCGCAAUAAAUUAAAAGAACUACAACAAAAAUUGGAACAAAUAACAGCGCAGAAAGAAACCAAAACACGAAUAAGUGAAGAAAACUCUGUGGGAUCUAACGAUGCUGAAAAUGAUGAACAACCUGGUGUGUCGAGGCUAAACAAAAUAACAAAUCCAAAUGAAAGUGAAGUGAUUAUUUCUCCAAUUGAAGCUAAUCCUCCAAUUGAAAUGGGUUCCACCCAGCUGUAUGGAAAAAAUUAUGAAGAAGAUAUGGUUCACUUAAAAGACAACAUUUAUUGUCGGAAAAUUGUUUAUGACAGUGCA